AACUCAGAUAUGGUGCACCUGACACGUAGUGAGUGCUCAGAAGCGCUGCCUGUAAUAAUAAUAGCCGUCGUUAUUGUUGAUGUUUUUCGUGAAACACCAGGGAGUUUUCUCUACACUUUAUCUCCAGACCUCCUGGACUGACCCCCUCUCCUUGACCGCUGGAGAAGUCAGGAAUGGCUGAUAAAAGCUUCCAUUCAUUCAUGAACACGAUGAGCAAAUUGAGGCACAGAGAGCUGAAAGCUACCCAGGGCCCUGCGGUUGGCGUCAGAACACACAGGUACAACAAGAGAGGCGUCUGUCCUUAGGGAACUUUCCGAAGAGCUGAGGUGACACAAGUGAACGUGUGAAUGAAGGAGUCCAGGGGACGAAGGCACAGGGGUGAACGUGGCCUGGGUUGGCAGCGGGGGGCUGGGGGGGGGCUCUGGAGGAGGUGACAUCUGAGCUGAGACCUGAAGGAUCAGUCAGAAGCCUGGAAGGCCAGAGGACAAGGGCUUCAGGAAGAGCAAAUGCAAAGGUCUGGAGGGCGGUAGGCAAACCAGUGCUAGGGGUAGAAAGCGGGGGAGUGGGGGGGACAGAGUGACCAGAUGUGGCAGAGGACUCACGUGUGGGCUGGUGCUGGGAGCCCAGGGUCCCAUGCCCUUGUGGGUGCAGCGUGGAGCCGUUGGGGGCCAGUCCCGGCCCAGUCACAUCCUUUAAAGUCU